GUCCUUACAAGCUGCUACUCAAAUUGCUCUCAUUUAGGUUCCUGAUGUUCAUCUGUGAUCUGCAGGGAUUGCUCUGCUGCUCUGAAUUGCACCAGAGCAAUCCCAGCCAACUGAACAGACGCUCCUCUUCACUCCUCUGCUUUAUGGUGAUGAUGCCACUGAUGACACAGUGAACAAGACAGAGGGAGACGUUACUUGCAUGGCAAGGGCUGCAGAGAAGAUUCUUUCCUCAAACGUGACAGAAAUCACUUAGAGUGCAGACACAUUUAAGAAUUACAGCUGUUUGUUUACUGAAGGACACUUACAUCCCUUUUCCUGCUCAUGCAAUCCACUUCACCUUACAAGGUCCCCUACUGCAACUGCACAAGACUGUGCUAACACCUCAGUUUGCAGCAUCUGAACAUUGGAGAGUUAUUGUUUUUAAUUACAUGUGAUGGCCUGGCACUUUUCUGAAUUAUCGAUCAGAACCGACCAUCAUGCCAAAUAGGAAAUUUCAGUGAUAAGCCCAGCACCCUGAUUAGCAGGCUCUCUGGUGUUUCAUUACAAUUAAUGCAUAUUUUACUCAUCCAGGCCACUCUCUACGGAGAUGUCAUUUGGGCAUGAUGCAUGAAUAUAUAAAAUCUAGGAUACUGAGAACAAUGUAUGUUUACAGUGAGUUUCUCAGUAUACCUCUCCUGAAUUAUGGGAGCAUCUGUGUGUAAGUAGCCUUACACAGGGCAUAUUUGAGAAUGGAAUCUUAGGGAAAGAUAUGUUGUAAGACUGGAUUUGUCAUGUAGUAUGUUGCUACCCCCAAACAUUUUUCUAAUGAACCACAGUAGAG
rnacentral:lncRNA from 1 species